AUUUGAUUCCAGGGCACAACACUUUUCACAGAUCUUGCUGGUGGUGGUAGUACCAGUGAUGAGGAGGAGGAGGAUGAAAAUGAGGAGAAUAAUAACAUCGAAACGGAUGAAAGUAAAACAGAAGAAGAGGAAGAAGAAGAGGAAAGUGAAGAAAAUGGCAAAGAUAAGAUGUGAAAAUAAGACGAGGAGUAAAAAUUUGUUGUGUAAAUUUCAUUCAUUAUAAUAAAAUACUUUGAAGACUA